AGGAUUUUAAGUUAAAAAAACUAAUAGCCUUCAAAGCUGUCAAUAAAAAAUAUUUUUAAAUCCUG
rnacentral:tRNA from 1 species